UUAAGCGACUAAGCGUACACGGUGGAUGCCUAGGCAAUCAGAGGCGAUGAAGGACGUGCUAAUCUGCGAAAAGCGUCGGUAAGGUGAUAUGAACCGUUAUAACCGACGAUGUCCGAAUGGGGAAACCCAGUGCAAUUCGUUGCACUAUCGUUUGAUGAAUCCAUAGUCAAACGAGGCGAACCGGGGGAACUGAAACAUCUCAGUACCCCGAGGAAAAGAAAUCAACCGAGAUUCCCCUAGUAGCGGCGAGCGAACGGGGAGCAGCCCAGAGUCUUAAUCAGCAUCAGCAUCAGGAGAACGGUCUGGAAAGGCCGGCAAUAAAGGGUGAUAGCCCCGUAUCCGAAGGUGUUGGUGUUGUGAACUCGACGAGUAGGGCGGGACACGUGUUAUCCUGUCUGAAUAUGGGGGGACCAUCCUCCAAGGCUAAAUACUCCUGAUUGACCGAUAGUGAACCAGUACCGUGAGGGAAAGGCGAAAAGAACCCCGGCGAGGGGAGUGAAAUAGAACCUGAAACCGUGUACGUACAAGCAGUGGGAGCCUUGAUUUAUCAGGGUGACUGCGUACCUUUUGUAUAAUGGGUCAGCGACUUAUAUUCUGUAGCAAGGUUAACCGAAUAGGGGAGCCGUAGGGAAACCGAGUCUUAACUGGGCGAAUAAGUUGCAGGGUAUAGACCCGAAACCCGGUGAUCUAGCCAUGGGCAGGUUGAAGGUUGGGUAACACUAACUGGAGGACCGAACCGACUAAUGUUGAAAAAUUAGCGGAUGACUUGUGGCUGGGGGUGAAAGGCCAAUCAAACCGGGAGAUAGCUGGUUCUCCCCGAAAGCUAUUUAGGUAGCGCCUCGUGAACUCAUCUUCGGGGGUAGAGCACUGUUUCGGCUAGGGGGUCAUCCCGACUUACCAACCCGAUGCAAACUACGAAUACCGAAGAAUGUUAUCACGGGAGACACACGGCGGGUGCUAACGUUCGUCGUGAAGAGGGAAACAACCCAGACCGCCAGCUAAGGUCCCAAAGUCAUGGUUAAGUGGGAAACGAAGUGGGAAGGCUCAGACAGCCAGGAUGUUGGCUUAGAAGCAGCCAUCAUUUAAAGAAAGCGUAAUAGCUCACUGGUCGAGUCGGCCUGCGCGGAAGAUGUAACGGGGCUAAACCAUGCACCGAAGCUGCGGCAGCGACAUUUAGAUGUUGUUGGGUAGGGGAGCGUUCUGUAAGCCUGUGAAGGUGUGCUGCGAGGCAUGCUGGAGGUAUCAGAAGUGCGAAUGCUGACAUAAGUAACGAUAAUGCGGGUGAAAAACCCGCACGCCGGAAGACCAAGGGUUCCUGUCCAACGUUAAUCGGGGCAGGGUGAGUCGACCCCUAAGGCGAGGCAGAAAUGCGUAGUCGAUGGGAAACAGGUUAAUAUUCCUGUACUGGUGAUAAUUGCGAUGGGGGGACGGGAGAAGGCUAGGCUAGCCGGGCGACGGUUGUCCCGGUUUAAGGAUGUAGGUGGGUGAAUUAGGCAAAUCCGGUUCGCUAUACACUGAGGUCUGAUGACGAGUCACUACGGUGGCGAAGUAGCUCAUGCCCCGCUUCCAGGAAAAGCCUCUAAGCUCUAGAUUAUCAUUAAUCGUACCCCAAACCGACACAGGUGGUCAGGUAGAGAAUACUCAGGCGCUUGAGAGAACUCGGGUGAAGGAACUAGGCAAAAUGGUGCCGUAACUUCGGGAGAAGGCACGCUGGCAUUAGGUGAAGUGGUUUACCCAUGGAGCUGAAGCCAGUCGCAGAUACCAGCUGGCUGCAACUGUUUAUUAAAAACACAGCACUGUGCAAACACGAAAGUGGACGUAUACGGUGUGACGCCUGCCCGGUGCUGGAAGGUUAAUUGAUGGGGUUAUCCGUAAGGAGAAGCUCUUGAUCGAAGCCCCAGUAAACGGCGGCCGUAACUAUAACGGUCCUAAGGUAGCGAAAUUCCUUGUCGGGUAAGUUCCGACCUGCACGAAUGGCGUAAUGAUGGCCAGGCUGUCUCCACCCGAGACUCAGUGAAAUUGAACUCGCUGUGAAGAUGCAGUGUACCCGCGGCAAGACGGAAAGACCCCGUGAACCUUUACUAUAGCUUGACACUGAACAUUGAGCCUUGAUGUGUAGGAUAGGUGGGAGGCUUUGAAGUGUGGACGCCAGUCUGCAUAGAGCCAACCUUGAAAUACCACCCUUUAAUGUUUGAUGUUCUAACGUAGCCCCAUAAUCUGGGGUGCGGACAGUGUCUGGUGGGUAGUUUGACUGGGGCGGUCUCCUCCCAAAGCGUAACGGAGGAGCACGAAGGUUGGCUAAGCAUGGUCGGACAUCAUGCGGUUAGUGCAAAGGCAUAAGCCAGCUUGACUGCGAGAGUGACGGCUCGAGCAGGUACGAAAGUAGGUCUUAGUGAUCCGGUGGUUCUGAAUGGAAGGGCCAUCGCUCAACGGAUAAAAGGUACUCCGGGGAUAACAGGCUGAUACCGCCCAAGAGUUCAUAUCGACGGCGGUGUUUGGCACCUCGAUGUCGGCUCAUCACAUCCUGGGGCUGAAGUAGGUCCCAAGGGUAUGGCUGUUCGCCAUUUAAAGUGGUACGCGAGCUGGGUUUAGAACGUCGUGAGACAGUUCGGUCCCUAUCUGCCGUGGGCGUUGGAAGAUUGAAAGGGGCUGCUCCUAGUACGAGAGGACCGGAGUGGACGCACCGCUGGUGUUCGGGUUGUCAUGCCAAUGGCACUGCCCGGUAGCUAAGUGCGGAAGAGAUAACCGCUGAAAGCAUCUAAGCGGGAAACUUGCCUUGAGAUGAGUCUUCCCUGACUCUUUAAGGGUCCUAAAGGAACGUUUAAGACGAAGACGUUGAUAGGCUGGGUGUGUAAGCGUAGCGAUACGUUGAGCUAACCAGUACUAAUGAACCGUGAGGCUUAACCUG
rnacentral:rRNA from 1 species